rnacentral:lncRNA from 1 species
UUUUCUGUUGGAUUUCACGGUAUAAAUAAACGGCAAACUCGAUGCUUGGACCACGAAUGGUUUUUUCUCCCGCCCCCGCCCCCGAACGGGGCUCCGUCCGAGAGCCGACGGCGGGGGCCGGCGGGGGCCGUGGGCAGAGGAGCGCGACGCGGGGUCCGAACGUCUCGACUUCCGCGAAGAACCCCCCCCCCCCCCCCCGCCCGCGUCCCCGCACGGAGGUGGUCCCCGAGUGUCUGGUGGAGGCGGCCGCCGCGGACCGACCCGGGCCCCGCCCCCACGCCCAGUCGGCCACUUGGUGCGAGCCGGGGCGGGUGCCCGGGACAGGCAGGGUGCCCCCGGGGCGGGAGGACGGGACGGGGCCGGGCGGCCGCCGGGGCCGGGGGCUCUCUCUCCCCUGGUCCGGGCGGACGCCGUCCGUCAGGGUCCGACCCCGAGGGGGGGACCGUGGGUCGCCGUGGCCGGACCCUCCGCCCCCCCAGGGGCCACGGGACUGGGGUCUCGGGGGAGGCGCCGGGCCCAGGCGGGGCGACAGACCGGUCAGAUCCCGGGGCCGCCGGGGGAGGGGAGGGGUCGCCCGGGCACGCGAUCGGGCCCUUCCGCCCCGGCUGUGGAACUGACCGCUGGCUUUCGAUCCAGAGAGCGGCCGGCCCGGCGGGGAGGGGAGAAGGCGCCGCCCCUCAUCGAGACGGCGGCGGCCCCGGCCGGGGGGCCGCCCCGUCGCCGGCUGGAGCGGCCGGGGGCCGUGGGCUCUCCUGGGGAGGUUUGAUCCGAUGGUCCACGGGCGUCGCUUGCCCACCUGGCGGAGGUGUGGUUCGGUCUGGCGGUCUACGGGUAUCGGCCGCCCCCCGUACGGAGGUGCGGUUUAGUCCGGUGGUCCGCGGGCGUCGGCUGCCCCCCCGGAGAGGCCCUCGGGGCUCCGGGUGGGAGGUUUUCCUCGUGCGACCCCGGGACUCCCUCCCCCCGCGGGGCUCCCGUCAGACCGGAACGCGGUCGGAGCGCGCGGCCUGGCACCCGUCCCGCCUCCCGGCUGCCGACCGGACGUCCGGAUCGCCCCGGGGAGGCGGGCCCCGGGCCGGUCGAGGGGGAGAGGGACCCGGUGGGGACCCCCAACCCACGGGCCCCCCCCCCCCCCCCCCCAGCCCACCGAGGGAGCCCCCCUCCCUCGGGAGGGGUGACCGUCCCAGACGGCUCUUCGCGCCUCGGGGCGCUCCUUUCCCGAGCACGUGGCACCCGGGCGAGUCGGGGGUGAACCCGCCUCGGCGAGCUCCGCCGUCUCUCCUCUCCGGCGGCCGCGGGCUCUCCCCCCGCCGCUCAGAUUCUCCCCCGGGGCCGCCCGGCCGCCCCCUCCCCCGUGAGCCCCGCCGCCCCCCGCGUUCGGCGGAUCCUGUCUCUUCUUGA